rnacentral:rRNA from 1 species
AGUGAACGCUGGCGGUAGGCCUAACACAUGCAAGUCGAACGGCAGCACAGUAAGAGCUUGCUCUUACGGGUGGCGAGUGGCGGACGGGUGAGGAAUACAUCGGAAUCUACUUUUUCGUGGGGGAUAACGUAGGGAAACUUACGCUAAUACCGCUUCCGACCUACGGGUGAAAGCAGGGGAUCUUCGGACCUUGCGCGAUUGAAUGAGCCGAUGCCGGAUUAGCUAGUUGGCGGGGUAAAGGCCCACCAAGGCGACGAUCCGUAGCUGGUCUGAGAGGAUGAUCAGCCACACUGGAACUGAGACACGGUCCAGACUCCUACGGGAGGCAGCAGUGGGGAAUAUUGGACAAUGGGCGCAAGCCUGAUCCAGCCAUACCGCGUGGGUGAAGAAGGCCUUCGGGUUGUAAAGCCCUUUUGUUGGGAAAGAAAAGCAGCAGGUUAAUACCCCGCUGUUCUGACGGUACCCAAAGAAUAAGCACCGGCUAACUUCGUG